rnacentral:rRNA from 1 species
GACGAACGCUGGCGGCGCGCUUAACACAUGCAAGUCGAACGGAAAGGCCUGCUUUCCCUUGUGGAUUGCGGGUACUCGAGUGGCUAACGGGUGAGUAACACGUGAGUGAUCUGCCCCCAACUUGGGUAUAAGCCUGGGAAACUGGGUCUAAUUCCCGAUAGGACUGCAGGGUGGUGCCUGUGGUGGAAAACGAUCUUCUAGUGGUUGGGGAUGAGCUCGCGGCCUAUCAGCUUGUUGGUGGGGUAAUGGCCGACCAAGGCGGCGACGGGUAGCCGGCCUGGGAGGGUGGACGGCGACAUUGGGACUGGGAUACGGCCCAGACUCCUGCGGGAGGCAGCAGUGGGGAAUAUUGCGCAGUGGGCGGAAGCCUGAUGCAGCGACGCCGCGUGGGGGAUGACGGGCUUCGGGUUGUAAACUACUUUGGACCGAGAGGAAGCCACGUGGUUGGAAGGGUGGUGACGGUAGUGGUAGAAGAAGCACCGGCUAACUACGUG